CCCUUAGAUGUCCUGGGCCGCACGCGCGCUACACUGAUGCAUGCAACGAGUUUAUAACCUUGGCCUGAAAGGUCUGGGUAAUCUUUUGAACGUGCAUCGUGAUAGGGAUAGAUUAUUGCAAUUGUUAAUCUUGAACGAGGAAUUCCUAGUAAACGCAGAUCAUCAAUCUGCAUUGAUUACGUCCCUGCCCUUUGUACACACCGCCCGUCGCACCUACCGAUUGGAUGGUCCGGUGAAGCCUCGGGAUUGUGGUUCUUGCCGCUUUAUUGUGGCGUGACCGCGAGAACUUGUCUAAACCUUAUCAUCUAGAGGAAGGUGAAGUCGUAACA
rnacentral:rRNA from 1 species